UCUCGUUAGCGUAAAAGUUAACAUAAUUUUGUAUGGAGUAGGAACAUUUGCCUAUGUUUGCCGCUAGGGGCGCUGUUCCAACUCCAUACGAAUUUGAGUUAACUUUUACGCGAUCGA
rnacentral:pre_miRNA from 9 species